rnacentral:ncRNA from 1 species
CUAAGGGGUGCCCGAUGUUUCGGGCUGAGAUCAUACCCUCAUACCUGACCCGGAUAAUGCCGGCGUAGGGAUACUUA